CGGACGGCGACGGGCGGAGCUCCGGGCGCGGCUUUGGCAUGGGGUCGGGGACGGCACGGCCAACGCAUCAAGAGGUCACGAAACCUUUUCACAAAGGUAGGAUCACAUGAGUCUACCGGUGAAAGGAAUCGAAGAACGGAGGUUCGAGGUGGUCUCACCGGCAACAAUGGUGGCGGUGACCGGCGGAGGAAGACGUUGACGUAGCCGGCUGUACCGAGGUUUUGAGGGCAAACUUUCUACAUGGGAAUGGGAGAGGAGAGGCAAAGGCUCAAAGUGACGUGCGUGGAAUCCUUUUAUAGUGGCCGAGGAGGGAGAUCGGGCGCGGGAUGUCGACGGUCGGCAUUCGGGGCACCUCUUUUGGAAACUGCGAUUAUGAGAGGAAACUUCAAAUUGAUUUCCUGAAUGGGUUCCCGGGAUGGUGAGGAUUGAUGGGGUGGUUUCCUGUCGGAGAGAGACGCGCGGGAAGGAAAGUAAUCGAAGGAAGAAAAUAUGGAAGGAGAGAGUUUCCUUACGUGCAGAGGAGGAGAACGAGCACGAGCUCGUGCUCGUGGCUGGGGCGCUCGGUGAAGAUGGGCCGGCCCAGUUUGGGUCGGUCCAUUCUCUUUUUUUCUUUUUUUCUUUUUUUUUCCAUUUCUGUUUUUAUUAAUAACUUUUGAUUCCUAAGUCCAAAUAAGUCCAAAUAAACUCCAGUAAAUUUGUAAAUUCAAAUCCUCCAAAAUGUGAGCUUUUGGGACUUGAAUCCUUUCAAAAUAAAAUAAGUAAAAAUACUUUUGCUUAUAUAAAUGUCAUUAGAGCUUUAUAAGUAAUACAUAAAAUAGGUUUUGAAAUCAUUAUG
rnacentral:lncRNA from 1 species